AUUGAACGCUGGCGGCAGGCCUAACACAUGCAAGUCGAACGGUAACAGGAAGCAGCUUGCUGCUUCGCUGACGAGUGGCGGACGGGUGAGUAAUGUCUGGGAAACUGCCUGAUGGAGGGGGAUAACUACUGGAAACGGUAGCUAAUACCGCAUAACGUCGCAAGGCCAAAGAGGGGGACCUUAGGGCCUCUUGCCAUCGGAUGUGCCCAGAUGGGAUUAGCUAGUAGGUGGGGUAACGGCUCACCUAGGCGACGAUCCCUAGCUGGUCUGAGAGGAUGACCAGCCACACUGGAACUGAGACACGGUCCAGACUCCUACGGGAGGCAGCAGUGGGGAAUAUUGCACAAUGGGCGCAAGCCUGAUGCAGCCAUGCCGCGUGUAUAAAGAAGGCCUUCGGGUUGUAAAGUACUUUCAGCGGGGAGGAAGGGAGUAAAGUUAAUACCUUUGCUCAUUGACGUUACCCGCAGAAGAAGCACCGGCUAACUCCGUG
rnacentral:rRNA from 1 species